rnacentral:rRNA from 1 species
CCUACGGGAGGCAGCAGUGGGGAAUAUUGCACAAUGGGGGAAACCCUGAUGCAGCGACGCCGCGUGAGUGAGGAAGGAUUUCGGUAUGUAAAGCUCUAGCAGCAGGGAAGAAAAUGACGGUACCUGACUAAGAAGCCCCGGCUAACGACGUGCCAGCAGCCGCGGUAAUACGUAGGGGGCAAGCGUUAGCCGGAUUUACGGGGUGUAAAGGGAGCGUAGACGGCUACUCAAGACAGAAGUGAAAACCCCGGGCUCAACCUUGGGAGUGCUUUUGAAACGGAGUAGCUAGAGUGCCGGAGAGGUAAGCGUCCUUCCUAGUGUCGCGGUGAACUGCUUAGAUAUUAGGAGGAACACCAGUGUC